GUGCAGCAGGCGCGAAAACUUUGCAAUACACGAAAGUGUGACAGGGCUAUCCCGAGUGCCAUCCGCUGAGGAAGGCUUUUACCCAGUCUAGAAAGCUGGGGGAAUAAGGAGAGGGCAAGUCUGGUGUCAGCCGCCGCGGUAAUACCAGCUCUCCGAGUGGUGUGGAUGUUUAUUGGGCCUAAAGCAUCCGUAGCUGGCUAAGUUAGUCCCUUGUUAAAUCCACCGAAUUAAUCGUUGGAUCGCGGGGGAUACUGCUUGGCUAGGGGACGAGAGAGGCAGACGGUAUUUUCGGGGUAGGGGUGAAAUCCUAUAAUCCCGGGAAGACCACCAGUGGCGAAGGCUGUCUGCUAGAACGCGCCCGACGGUGAGGGAUGAAAGCUGGGGGAGCGAACCGGAUUAGAUACCCGGGUAGUCCCAGCUGUAAACGAUGCAGGCUAGGUGUUUGGACGGCCACGUGCCGUUCUAGUGCCGCAGGGAAGCUGUUAAGCCUGCCGCCUGGGGAGUACGAUCGCAAGAUUGAAACUUAAAGGAAUUGGCGGGGGAGCAC
rnacentral:rRNA from 1 species